rnacentral:RNase_P_RNA from 1 species
CAAGUCGGCCAGACAGUCGCUGUUAUGCUUUGCAUAAUAGAGGAAAGUCCGGGCUUCGCAGGGUAAGGUGCCAGAUAACGUCUGGGAGGCGUGAGCCUACGGAAAGUGCAGCAGAAAAUAUACCGCCUAAGUAGUUUACUACCGGUAAGGUUGAAAUGGUGUGGUAAGAGCGCACCGCGCAUCUGGCAACAGAAUGUGGCUAGGUAAACCCCACCUGAAGCAAGACCAAAUAGAAAUCCUGUAGUGUGACCCGCACUGGAUUCGGGUAGGUUGCUAGAGGCAUGCAGUGAUGUAUGUUCGAGAUGAAUGACUGUUCACGACAGAACCCGGCUUAUCGGCUGACUUGCUUU